rnacentral:rRNA from 1 species
UAAGGAAUAUUGCGCAAUGGGCGACAGCCUGACGCAGCGACGCCGCGUGGGGGAUGAAGGUCUUCGGAUUGUAAACCCCUUUCGGCAGGGAAGAUGGAACGGGUAACCGUUCGGACGGUACCUGCAGAAGCAGCCACGGCUAACUUCGUGCCAGCAGCCGCGGUAAUACGAAGGUGGCAAGCGUUGUUCGGAUUUACUGGGCGUACAGGGAGCGUAGGCGGUUAGGUAAGCCCUUCGUGAAAUCUCCGGGCCUAACCCGGAAAGGGCGGAGGGGACUGCUUGGCUAGAGGAUGGGAGAGGAGCGCGGAAUUCCCGGUGUAGCGGUGAAAUGCGUAGAGAUCGGGAGGAAGGCCGGUGGCGAAGGCGGCGCUCUGGAACAUUUCUGACGCUGAGGCUCGAAAGCGUGGGGAGCAAACAGG